rnacentral:rRNA from 1 species
UACGUAGGGCGCAAGCGUUGUCCGGAAUUAUUGGGCGUAAAGAGCUCGUAGGCGGUUUGUCGCGUCUGGUGUGAAACCUGGGGCUCAACCCCGGGCCUGCAGCCGAUACGGGCAAACUAGAAUUCGGUAGGGGAGACUGGAAUUCCUGGUGUAGCGGUGAAAUGCGUGAGAUAUCGAGAGGAACACCUGCGGCGAAGGCGGGUGCUGGGCUGACACUGACGCUGAUUGUGCGAAAGCUAGGGGAGCGAACGGG